GCUUGCUGCUUCGCUGACGAGUGGCGGACGGGUGAGUAAUGUCUGGGAAACUGCCUGAUGGAGGGGGAUAACUACUGGAAACGGUGGCUAAUACCGCAUAACGUCGCAAGACCAAAGAGGGGGACCUUCGGGCCUCUUGCCAUCAGAUGUGCCCAGAUGGGAUUAGCUUGUUGGUGAGGUAACGGCUCACCAAGGCGACGAUCCCUAGCUGGUCUGAGAGGAUGACCAGCCACACUGGAACUGAGACACGGUCCAGACUCCUACGGGAGGCAGCAGUGGGGAAUAUUGCACAAUGGGCGCAAGCCUGAUGCAGCCAUGCCGCGUGUAUGAAGAAGGCCUUCGGGUUGUAAAGUACUUUCAGCGGGGAGGAAGGUGUUGUGGUUAAUAACCGCAGCAAUUGACGUUACCCGCAGAAGAAGCACCGGCUAACUCCGUGCCAGCAGCCGCGGUAAUACGGAGGGUGCAAGCGUUAAUCGGAAUUACUGGGCGUAAAGCGCACGCAGGCGGUCUGUCAAGUCGGAUGUGAAAUCCCCGGGCUCAACCUGGGAACUGCAUUCGAAACUGGCAGGCUUGAGUCUUGUAGAGGGGGG
rnacentral:rRNA from 1 species